GACGAAGGUGGCGAGCGUUGUUCGGAAUCACUGGGCGUAAAGCGCACGUAGGCGGUGCCGUAAGUCGGAUGUGAAAUCCCUCGGCCUAACCGAGGAACUGCGUCCGAUACUGCGGUGCUUGAGGAUCAGAGGGGUGCAUGGAAUUUCCGGUGGAGCGGUGAAAUGCGUUGAUAUCGGAAGGAACUCCGGCGGCGAAAGCGAUGCACUGGCUGAUUUCUGACGCUGAGGUGCGAAAGCCAGGGGAGCAAACGGG
rnacentral:rRNA from 1 species